AUUGAACGCUGGCGGCAGGCCUAACACAUGCAAGUCGAACGGUAGCACAGAGAGCUUGCUCUCGGGUGACGAGUGGCGGACGGGUGAGUAAUGUCUGGGAAACUGCCCGAUGGAGGGGGAUAACUACUGGAAACGGUAGCUAAUACCGCAUAACGUCGCAAGACCAAAGAGGGGGACCUUCGGGCCUCUUGCCAUCGGAUGUGCCCAGAUGGGAUUAGCUUGUAGGUGAGGUAACGGCUCACCUAGGCGACGAUCCCUAGCUGGUCUGAGAGGAUGACCAGCCACACUGGAACUGAGACACGGUCCAGACUCCUACGGGAGGCAGCAGUGGGGAAUAUUGCACAAUGGGCGCAAGCCUGAUGCAGCCAUGCCGCGUGUAUGAAGAAGGCCUUCGGGUUGUAAAGUACUUUCAGCGGGGAGGAAGGGAGUGAGGUUAAUAACCUUAUUCAUUGACGUUACCCGCAGAAGAAGCACCGGCUAACUCCGUGCCAGCAGCCGCGGUAAUACGGAGGGUGCAAGCGUUAAUCGGAAUUACCGGGCGUAAAGCGCACGCAGGCGGUCUGUCAAGUCGGAUGUGAAAUCCCCGGGCUCAACCUGGGAACUGCAUUCGAAACUGGCAGGCUGGAGUCUUGUAGAGGGGGGUAGAAUUCCAGGUGUAGCGGUGAAAUGCGUAGAGAUCUGGAGGAAUACCGGUGGCGAAGGCGGCCCCCUGGACAAAGACUGACGCUCAGGUGCGAAAGCGUGGGGAGCAAACAGGAUUAGAUACCCUGGUAGUCCACGCUGUAAACGAUGUCGACUUGGAGGUUGUUCCCUUGAGGAGUGGCUUCCGGAGCUAACGCGUUAAGUCGACCGCCUGGGGAGUACGGCCGCAAGGUUAAAACUCAAAUGAAUUGACGGGGGCCCGCACAAGCGGUGGAGCAUGUGGUUUAAUUCGAUGCAACGCGAAGAACCUUACCUACUCUUGACAUCCACGGAAUUUAGCAGAGAUGCCUUAGUGCCUUCGGGAACCGUGAGACAGGUGCUGCAUGGCUGUCGUCAGCUCGUGUUGUGAAAUGUUGGGUUAAGUCCCGCAACGAGCGCAACCCUUAUCCUUUGUUGCCAGCGAUCCGGUCGGGAACUCAAAGGAGACUGCCAGUGAUAAACUGGAGGAAGGUGGGGAUGGCGUCAAGUCAUCAUGGCCCUUACGAGUAGGGCUACACACGUGCUACAAUGGCAUAUACAAAGAGAAGCGACCUCGCGAGAGCAAGCGGACCUCAUAAAGUAUGUCGUAGUCCGGAUUGGAGUCUGCAACUCGACUCCAUGAAGUCGGAAUCGCUAGUAAUCGUGGAUCAGAAUGCCACGGUGAAUACGUUCCCGGGCCU
rnacentral:rRNA from 1 species